AGGCACGGAGCCCAUCCUCUGCGCACGUCGCCACAGCUCGGUUUUCCGGCCCUCUCUCCGCGAGCCAGCACGCCUCCGCUCCGGAACUGCGCCCGGGGGACCGGGUCAUCCCGGGGCUCAAGGAAGCCAUUCACUGUUUCUCACCUAGACUUCGAUUCCGCGGGGUACGAAACAGCUUUCCCGGUCUCCCUGGAGACGGCUGUGCAUCAGCCUGACGUCAGGGCGCGAUGACGUCACAGCCUACGUCCCUCGCCAACGCGGAAGCCCGGUUCCCCAGCGCCCGCGCGGGACCGACGCCCCUGGCGGAAGCGGGAAUUCUUCUGGCGGGGGUCUGAGGAAGGGCUGGUAUUACGCUGGCUGUUGUAAGAGAGAGGCAAGGCGUGCGAAAGGCUAAGCGGGGGAGGGUGUGCUGGAGUCGUAGAUGUAAAGAGAUGUCCCCAGCCCUGCGGCGGGUCGGAGAAACGCUGGCUACGGUGAAGGCCGAAAUAGGUCUCACCCCUGGCUCUAGGGCCCUUUUGGUGGACACAGCAGGGAGCAAUUGUUCCUGAGCUGAGGGGGUGGAGAUGCCUGUAUAAGUCACAGGUGUAAAGGGAAGCUCUGGUCUUAGUCGUUACAGGAAGGGCUAGUUGAUUGGGAAAGUAUAAGUAAAAUUGUCUUCCUUGUUCAAGAGUAGUCAAGAUGAAAAGCUUAGUUCAAAAGAUAUCUUGAGACCCCUAGUCCACAAUUCGUUUACUUAUAAAAGGCUGCCCAUCCUUAAACGUGACUUACUCUCCUUCCUUCAUUCAAAAGAAAGUGUUUAUUGAUGGCUUACUAGGCAACAAGCACUGCCUACCAGGCUGUGGUGAUGCUCAGUGACUAACUCAGGCAGGGGUAGCCACUGUUAUGAUUUGCAGGCAAUUCAUUAAUGGCCAGGAUCUCUCCUUUUUGAGGAUUUCACUAAGUCUAACUCAAGAAAUAAAACAUUUACAGUUCGCUAGCAGGGAAAGAAACUCACUACUAUUGAAUGAAGUAAGGCUGAAUAAAUACAAAGAAAGUUAAACCUGUGAUGUAGAAAAGUGAUCAAAUGAUGCAGAGCAGUGCUGGAACAGUAGUCAAACUGCUCAUUGAUAGCUAUUAAUGAAAAUGACAGCACGGAGUACUGAACACUUCUAAAAGCCUUCUUCCAGAGUUCCCGUUGUGGCUCAGGAGGUUGAGAACCCGAUAUACUGUCCGUGAGGAUGUGGUUUGAUCCCUGGCCUUGAUCAGUAGGUUAAGGAUCCGGCAUUGCCAUAAGUGGUGGUGUAAAUGGCAGACAGUUCCACCAUAGGACAGAUGCAGCUCAGAUCCUGCAUUGCUAUGGCUGUGCUGUAGGCUGGCAGCUACAGCUCCGAUUCAACCCCUAACUUCCAUAUGCUACAGGUGUGGCUGUAAAAAGAAAAAAUAAUAAAAUUAAAGUAAAAUAAAAUAAUAAAGCUUGUUCAUCCAAGUACUAAAAGUCUUGGAGAGAGACAGCCAAUGAAGUGGUGAAGAACAGCAAGUUUAUGAGAAAGGCAAAGAACUUUCGGAGCUGUUCAUCCUUAGUAUGUUUCUUUGAGGGACAAUGAAGGUAGGAUUGUUCUCAUUUUGUAACAAUGGGGGUUUAGAUAUAGAGCACACACAUACAAAAAACAGUUCAUCCAGAUCCAUUGUGUGCUUUAUCUGGACUAGGAAUUACACACCUAAAGUACCAUCACUCUUCUGAAGCUAGUCUGGCUAUAGUAUGUUUAUUAGUAUUAAUAAUGUUUAUUGAGUUCUUUGUGUAUAUAAGAAAACAUUUUAAGGAUGAGAGAAGAUCCAGCUGCAAGGCUGUAAUUCAUUAUUGUAUGAUCUCAUUUCACCUGUGUUUAUUCAUCUCCAUAUUGGUCUUGAGACCAGUUUUCCUUCCAUUGUAAAUGUCCCUUAGACCUUUACACUAAUAAGAUAGCCACAUGUGACUAUUUAAUUUGGCUAAAAUUAAUUAAAAUUUCAAAUUCCAUUCCUUUAUUGUACUAGCCACAUUUCAAGUGCUCAGUAGUCAUAUGUUGGUGCCACGUAACACAGUACAUACAUAGAACGUUCUCAGCAUCAAAGAACGUUCUAUUGAGCAGUGGUGAGCCUAGUAAGAAUUUGAAGGAUAAAGAGAAUUGAUAAAUUGUGAAUAAUAUCCCUUGUUAAAGACUAGCAGUGAGAAGUUCCCUUAAGGUGCAGUAGGUUAAGAAUGUGGCAUUGUUACUGCUGUGGCUCAGUGGCACAGGUUCAAUCCCUAGCCUGGGAACUUCCACAGGCAUGGCAAAAUAUUAAAAAAAAAAAAAAGAAAGAAAGAAAAAAAAGGAUUAGCAGUGAAAGUUUUAUUCCUGAAGACCACAGCACAGAUGAAUAGUUGUGAAUAGGGCAUUAUAACACAGGUCUUUUUUAAGAGUUAAAUCUAAUAUAUUUCAUCCCAUUGUCGAUGUGUGUUUUUUUUUUUCUUGGCUCUCAGUUGGUCUGUUUCCCUCACUCUCUGUCCAGAUUUCUUUUCUAAUACUUUUUUUUUCUAGUCCUUUUUCCCUAUCCCAUUAUUACCCAUACAGGAACUGAAGUAGAAUUUAAAACGUUCCCAUUAUUGGACAUACUGAAUAAAGCUUUGCCUUUAUUCUCUUAAAUUUUAAAUUAGCCACGUUUCACUUUAAUGUGACUUUUUAAAAUAAUCAAUGGUAACCAAAUUAAGUUCAUUUUAACCUCUCCUUCUGGCCCUUUAUUAUUCUUUUUCUCCUUUGAGUCAGGGACCCCUGAAAGAAAAAAAAUAUAUAUAUUCCUUAGUUUGGGGAGCAGAGUCUUUGUAAAGUGACUAAAUUCAGGCUUUCCAGAUCUUUGUGUUGUACUGUUGACAUUUAUGAGAGCACGAUGUCUGUGCUUCUAUUUCUGUUAUGGAUUUGAAUUUACCUAACGUAUUUAUCCAGCAAGGCAUUGUCAUUCAUCUUCUUCAUUCUGGUAAGUAGCAGUAUGCCAGCCCCUCUCCUUUCCUGGUCCCCACAUGAAAUGUUGGAGAAUAGGUACUUUGCAAGUCUGAUAUAACUAUCAGAAAGGCUACCCAAGAUUGCUCAAAGUGAGGUCAAAAACUGUACAAAGGGAGCAUGGCAACAUUAUAGUUAGCCCAACUUUAUUUUUAUCUUGUGAAUCAGAACACAGUACAACACUAUCUCCUUAAAAGUUUGAAUAAAAUGGUGGCAGCCGGGCCUCCCAAAUUGGAAGCAACAAAAUGGUUUUCACUGCUAUUUCUGGGUACCAUCCAAUGCAAAUGCAGAAUUUUUAAAAACUAACAUUUAUUGGGCUCUUUCUCUUUGCCAGGCAUUUCACACACGUCUCAUGUAUUGAAAACCCUUCCAAACAUAACUCAAUCAGAUCCUGGUUAUUGUUUACUCUCACCCAAAUAAUGGAAGUGGCCGAGGGCAUGAACCUUGUUGGGACACAUGAGCACUGAGGCAUCUUUGGACUGAAUGUGAGUGGAGGCAGAAGCACUUGGGCCUCUUGGAUUGUGUUAUUUGAAUCUGCCAGACAGAACCUAUGGGGCAUCUGCCUGCUAUGGAUUAGUAACAUGUGAAGACCCAAAAUUCUGGAAAUGAAACUUUGUCUUACACUUACUUUUUUCAUAGCUUUCCCACAUAGCUUUGUUUAAAACAAAACAAAAAAAGCUCAGCUACAAAUGACCAAUUUCUUUUUUUCUUCCUUUCUUUUUUCUUUCUUAGAACUGCACCCAUGGCUUAUGGAAGUUCCCAGGCUAGGGGUUGAACUACAGCUCCAGCCACAGCCACAACAAUGCCAAAUCCAAGCAACAUUUGAACCUAUGCUGCAGCUUGCAGCAACCCCAGAUCCUUGACCCACUGAUCCAAGGCUAGGGAUCGAACCUGCAUCCUCAUGGAUUCUAGUCAGGUUCUUAACCUGCUGAGCCACAAUGGGAACUCACCCACUUGCUUUUUGUACUUACCACAAUACCUGUUAUUCCCACCAAGAUGUGGGUAGGAUUUUCUUUCUGAAUACUGUUUUGUUUGUUUUUUACAGCUAAUCAAUUGUUAGACUUCUUUGUAAAGCUACUUUGUCUAUUUUGAACCCCAGAUAACUCUGGGCUAGAGGUGACUUGAGCACAAAAUAUUACUUGUAGACUUAUACUCUGUAUAUUUUUGAAUCCAUCACAUGUGCAGUGUAAACCUGAUUACCUAAUAAAAUGAAGGUU
rnacentral:lncRNA from 1 species